rnacentral:rRNA from 1 species
GACGAACGCUGGCGGCGUGCUUAACACAUGCAAGUCGAACGGAAAGGCCCUGCUUUUGUGGGGUGCUCGAGUGGCGAACGGGUGAGUAACACGUGAGUAACCUGCCCUUGACUUUGGGAUAACUUCAGGAAACUGGGGCUAAUACCGGAUAGGAGCUCCUGCUGCAUGGUGGGGGUUGGAAAGUUUCGGCGGUUGGGGAUGGACUCGCGGCUUAUCAGCUUGUUGGUGGGGUAGUGGCUUACCAAGGCUUUGACGGGUAGCCGGCCUGAGAGGGUGACCGGCCACCUUGGGGCUUAGAUUCGGCCCAGACUCCUACGGGAGGCAGCAGGGGGGAAUAUUGCACAAUGGGCGGAAGCCUGAUGCAGGCACGCCGCGUGCGGGAUGACGGCCUUCGGGUUGUAAACCGCUUUCGCCUGUGACGAAGCGUGAGUGACGGUAAUGGGUAAAGAAGCACCGGCUAACUACGUG